rnacentral:tRNA from 1 species
UCCCUCUUAGCUCAGCUGGUAGAGCGCGUCACUAGUAUCCUCUAAUAAUGACGAGGUCAGUCGUUCAAGUCGGCUAGAGGGAA